rnacentral:rRNA from 1 species
AGCGAACGCUGGCGGCAGGCCUAACACAUGCAAGUCGAACGACACCUUCGGGGUUAGUGGCGCACGGGUGAGUAACGCGUGGGAACGUGCCUUUAGGUUCGGAAUAACUCCGGGAAAGGUGUGCUAAUACCGGAUAAGCUCUUCGGAGGAAAGAUUUAUCGCCUUUGGAGCGGCCCGCGUUGGUUUAGCUAGUUGGUUGGGUAAACGCCUACCAAGGCGACGAUCCAUAGCUGGUCUGAGAGGAUGAUCAGCCACACUGGGACUGAGACACGGCCCAGACUCCUACGGGAGGCAGCAGUGGGGAAUCUUGCGCAAUGGGCGAAAGCCUGACGCAGCCAUGCCGCGUGAAUGAUGAAGGUCUUAGGGUUGUAAAGCUCUUUCACCCGGGACGAUAAUGACGGUACCCGGAGAAUAAGCCCCGGCUAACUUCGUG